ensembl:lncRNA
GCAUACGUUGUACCUGGCUGACCAGAAGAGGUAGAGCCAGGAUCCACCCCUUCCCAGACCUCAUUUAAGGGUUGGCAGUGGAGACAAAGGUGUCUACUAGGAGAUUGUUGCAUAAUUUAGGUCUCCUGAAAGUUACUGUAUAAGAACUGUUGAAUCACAGCCUGAACCUCUAAUUGAUCACCUGAGGUGAGCACUGAGUCAGCUGCAGGACCACAGGUGAAGGCAAUUCAACUGUGACCGGAAGGGGUGGAGCCUGGCUCCACCUCUUCUAGAUCCCAUUUAAGGGCUGUCUGCCACUGGGAAAGGAUCUCUUUCUGGGAUUGCUCCUCUUAGAGUUUUUCCUGUGAGCAUACAACACAGGUCUCAUAAAUGUGUAGCCCUUCCUUCAGAUUUCUAAAGAAGAGUAGUUGAUACGAAAUACAAUUUCCAGGCAAGUUAAUUUAGAAGAUUUUAGAAGGAAAAUUAAGGUUUCAGCUGAAAAACAUGGAAACAAACAAAAAACACCAUCAGUUUUUUUCAAUCCUCUCUUCUGAAAUUGUACUAGUUUGUCACGUUGCUUUAAUAAAUAUAUUAGUAUUACAUUGCUAGCAUAUUAGCAGACAUUAUUUUUAAAAACCUACAAUGUAGAAAUACCAAAAUUUAGUGAAUGUAUUUUGUAUCUGAACCAAAAGGAAUUUUCAAAUAAUUUCACAAGUCAUUAAUACUUUUAAUUGCUCAGUUCACUUAAGUUUGCUUUAUCUUAUGCUGUCAUUUAUAUCUCUGUAAAGAAAGCAUUAAAAACUGAGGUGCAAUGUCAGUUGUUUAGAUGAUUCUUUUUCUAUGGAUGUAGUAAUUAACAUACUUAAACAUACUAAAGCAACUAUGUUAUGAACUACCAUGCUUGUUCAGAAAAACACAUGUGAUUGAAUGGCAGAGAAGUAUGAAUGAUAUUGAAUGCUUCUUACCUCUACCAGGGACAAUUUCAGAUAUUCUUCAGCUACUCAAGUUGUUUGCAUUAUGAGGCAUCAGCUGAGUAAACUAAGAUUAUGCUCUGUGGAACAGUAAUAUAAAAGCUUAGAAAUCAAUAUUGAUUUCGUUUUAAACUAUAGCAUCAUUGACUGUUAAGCAUUUUUGAGUUGGAAAUUAUUCUGUCUUGAUUUGGCUGGUGUCCCACCAAGUGUUUGCAUUAGGGUAGCAGAAUUUGUGUGUGAGGUGCAGGGAGAAACAUCCUAGUAAACUUACAUUGUGGAUGUUAGCCUGAAACAUAAGAAUGCUUCUAGUCAAAAGAUGAUAGAAUUAUUCCAUUUCCCAAGCCAGGAAACUGUAGAGAACAUAAUCUAUUUUACUGAUAGAAUGGGAAGUCACUUAAUAACCACAUAGGUCAAAUAAGGUCAUCUAUCCUGGAUGAUUUACCAUGAACAAAGCACUUCAGUGAAUCCCAUAUGAAGACAAACCAUUAUUCAAUUUAGGGGAAAGCUAUACAAAAAAAUUAUAUUGCUAGUUAAUACUUUUUUUAGGAAUUUACUUGUAAACAAUUUAUUGAAUCAGCUUUAUAGUUAAGACCAUUUAUUUUCCACACCAAACUUCAAAGGGGUAUAAGAAACAGCUUUCUUAGCCUUCACUACUAGCUUCAAUUAAUUCAUUUGACCAUAUGGUGAAAUAAAACAGAAAUUCUCACUAAGUACAGUAAACAGACACUAAGAAUUUUCUUUCAGCUGAGUUGCUGUGGCGGUUUAAGGGGAAUUUGUUCCUUCUGUUUCAUCCAGUAGGAGACACGCAUAGCUGCAUUAUGAGAACCUUGGUCCAGUUCCUCACCGGGACACUGUUGUUUGUAUUAAGUUCUGUAAGUAUUACCAUUUAUAUGGUGGUACAUAGUAUACUGUUGUGAUGAUAGUGCAUUUUUGUGGCUUCCUAAGAUCUUGGCAUUACCAGUGAUGAGGUUUUAUGAUCAUCUUAAGCUGAUUUAACAGUGGGUGUCACCUUAAAGAAGUUUCUCUCUCCCCUGGUACACAUGUCCAUUACUACAGUUUCUCAGCAUUAGCAGCAUGUGCCCUUACCUUGAGGUUGAACAGGACUAUGCUCAGACAAAAUUUAUUUUGUUCCCCACAGUUAUAAAUCAGCCCUGUGGACUGUCUCAUCAUGUAAUCCUGCCAGCUCAACUCUGACUAUAGCCAAGGAUGAAGAAGGCAAGAGGCAGGUGUAGAAAGGGUGUGAAGGAAUACCAUGGUAUACUUUGUCUCAAUUGUUGGUUACCUCUAAUGUCUUGGGCUGCAGUACUAUCUGUACUAUCUUUAAAAUCUGUUUUUCAUAGGCCAAGACAAAAAAAAAGCACAAAAAUCUUAGAAAAGCAUUUGAAAGUAUAAUUAGCUAAGCAAUUGACAACUGUUUUGUCAUGCUGUACUCAGUAAUUAUCACUUAGAUACAAAACAAAUAACGUUGCUUAUGUGCCUUAAGGUGAACUUUUGAGCAAAAAUACAGGCCAAUUAGUAUACAGCAUUUUUAUCAGGCAUACUGAUUUCAUUGGCAUAGCACAUAACAUAAACUUACAAUAAGUUGGAGCACUACUGGAAAAGAGGAUAUAACAUUGCACCAGGAGUGAGUUUUAACAAAGACUACUUUACAGUAUAAACAAUGAUGUGCUAAAUGAAAGACAUGCAGUAACAUUGAAGAAAGGACAAAAAAAAAAAUGAAAGAUGUGCUAAUACUCAAGUCAAGAGGAUAAAGGAAGGUAAGAAAGUGAGAUGAAGUGAGAAAGAGAAAAAAUAAAACAGGUAAGUUAAAAAGGUAGGUUGUAACUUUGUGAUGUUGCAUAAUGGAGUAAAAAUGGAAACAAAAAGGAAUUUUUAACAGCCUGAAUUUAAAGCCACAUCUAUGAAUUUACUUUUUAUGAGAGGGGCAAACAAUUGCUGAGCUUCAUAUUUUCGUAAAUGUUAUGUAAAAUCAAAAUUCCUUUGUAAUUUUACUGACUUUUCAAAUAAAAUUACUUUGGCUU